AAAGCAUUCUUUCUUUAGCAUCCCACUGGAUUCUUUUUUCAGAGCACAACUGAAGGGCUUCAUUUGGUUCCCGACAACAUUCCAGGCACAGAACUACAACACAUCAUGUAUUUCACCACUACCGUCAGGUCAGAAAAGCCUCACUUUUAUGAGAAAUGCAUAACGAGGCAAAAAGCCCAGAAGAUCAAAAAAACUCAUCUCUCCUGGCAGCAUCUAGAAAUUUGUCCCCACUGCUUCUUGAUAAGCAGAUGUUUACGGCCAAGUUCACUUCAGAAACCAGUACUAUGAGGCUGGAGUUAGCUGUCCUAAAGGAUAAGCCCUCACUGAAGCACAUCUCCCCAAGGCAGCUGGCAAAACAGAUGAGGUGAAGUACCUAACGUCCAAACAGUGAGAAUAAACAUCAAAGAGCUUCUGGGGCCCAUGAAAGCAUUUUAAUUGAAAAUACCUACAUCUGCCUCCAAGCACAAAACCUCUUCCAGUAGUACUAAAGGAUCAGCAAUGUGUCAGGAAGAAAAAUAGAAGACCAUUGUGGCUGGGCACACUACUGAACACAGUAAACACAACGUCCCCGCUCCCUCUGCUAGCAGAGGUCAGGCAAGUGGAGACGUCUGCCACUGAUUUCAGGUCUGGAGGUGAGCGUCUUCACUUGGCAGUUUCGAAGAUCCCAGGCAAGCUAGAUCGUUAUCCCAUUCUGACACUUUGGGGUUACUUAGGAUGAGUUUUAACCUACGAUAUGCAACUUCCUGUCUG
rnacentral:lncRNA from 1 species